AAUCCGUGAUGUGGACAGAUAUUCAUCAGAUCCUUGAAUCUCUCCCAACAAACCUGAAAGGUCUCAUUACCUUUCUGUAUGAACUGACUGAUUUGAUCCUACAGGCACU